AUAGCCACAGCCAUAGCCCAGUCUUCGGAAGCUGCCAUAUCCACAGCCACAGCCACAGCCCAGUCUGCGGAACCCACAGCCAUAGCAGGAGCCACAGCCAUAGCCCAGGCCUCCAUAGCCACAGCAUCCAUAGCCCUGGUCCCCAUAGUAGUUUCUGUAGUAGCUACACAUGGUGUUGGUUGUUGAGGUUGUGCUUGGGAAAAGAAAGAGA